AUCUCUCUAGCGCAAUGGAUAGCGCGUUGGGCUUCUAAUCCAAAGGUAAUGAAUUCGAAUUCUAUUUGGGAUG